rnacentral:lncRNA from 1 species
AACGUUCCUGGUUGAUGUUUAACACGCAGCUUAUACCAGUCUCUUGUUGUAGAUUGACAACAAGCUGCUUUUUCUAGAAGGAGGAUUGCUUGGGAAACCUUCAGAUGAAAAUGAAAAGAAAACGUCACCAUGGCCAGAGGAGGAGGAAGCGACAGCAACAACAACGGCGUCGACAGCAGCAGCAGGAACGACAGGAGCAGCAACAAGAGCAGCAGCGGCUGCGGCAGCAGCAGCAGCAGGAGCAGGAGCAGCAGCAGCAGCAGCAGGGGCAACAGCGGCAGCAGCAGCAGGGGCAGCAGCGGCAGCAGCAGCAGCAGCAGCAGCAGCAGCAGCAGCAGCAGUGCCAGCAGCAGCAGCAGCAGCAGUGCCAGCAGCAGCAGCAGCAGCAGCAGCAGUGCCAGCAGCAGCAGCAGCAGCAGUGCCAGCAGUGCCAGCAACUGCAGCAGCAGCAGCAGGAGCAGCAGCAGCAGCAACGUAGGAGGAGAAACAACAGGAGGAGCAGGAGGAGCAGGAAGAGUAAGAAGAGCAAGAGGAACAGGAAGACCAGAAACACCAGGAGGAGGAGGAGAAGAAAUAAUGAGUGAUUGUGUCUACGUUUACGGGAAGAGUUUGAUGUGGUAGAAAUGUUGCUUCUUUGGAGAAAUUUGUACUCAAAGAAUUACUCAUGUAGAUAUUCCUCUCUCCCUGCCAAUAAAAUUUCAUCCACCUUUGGUUGUGUACAAGGAAGCUAUUGUGUGUCCAAAGAGUCCUCAGGAAGAGAGGCAUGGAUACUCUUCAGCAAAGAUGUAACACAACAGGCAAGGAGACGGAUCCCAGAGAGACUGCUGGAAUAAAUUUGGAGUUGAGUGAGAAAAAAGAUGGUAGGCUUACACCUUUGGCAUUUACAUCUAACAUAUUUGAGGCGGAGGCAGCGCCUGCGACGACGACGACAACAGCAA